rnacentral:lncRNA from 12 species
CACAGGCGUUGCCCUUGUUGCUAAAAACAGGUUUUAAGGUGUUUUACACACGGGCACGGGGUGGGGGGGGGGUGAUGCGGUGUAGGAGUUUUUAUUUUCACACCCGAAUGACGUAAGAAAUCAAAACCACGAAUCCGAACCAUUGUUUAUGGCGCUGGUUAGAAUUCUAGUUUACGCAGAAACUACACACGUAGUUCGCCUGUUUUAUUUUGGAAGCGGAAGGGAUAUUGUCCCGGUGUUGCGUUUGAAAUCGCGGUCUCGGGGCCUUUGCGGAGACUCGUUUCGAAGGUUUGUCUUUUCGCGCCGAGAUUCAGGACGAGGUUUUUAAACCUUCACUGAAACUUGCUGAUUCCUCUCGGAGGAACUCGGGUGACUGUUUCACACUUGAGCAAGGGGUGCUGCCGGUGCGGUGUCACUGUGCUGGCGGUGCGGUGUCACUGUGGUGCCAGUGUGAUGGCGGAGCUGCGUGGCUGUUGUGCGGUGUCACUGUGGUGCCAGUGUGAUGGCGGAGCUGCGUGGCUGUUGUGCGUGGAUGGUGACAGGGCUGUGGCAGUGCUGCGUGGCUGUUGUGUGCGCAUGGUGACAGUGUGGCGGUGGUGCUCUGUCAGUGCGGUGUGGCUGUUGUGUGCGCACAGUGUCAGUGCUGCGCGGCUGUUGUGUGUGCAUGGUGACAGUGUCAGUUCUGUGUCAGUGCUGCGUGGCUGCUGUGCGCGCACGGUGACAGCGCUGUAUCAGUGCUGCGUGGCUGUUGUGUCAGUGCGGUGUGGCUGUUGUGUCAGUGCUGUGUCAGCGCUGUAUCAGAGCUGCAUGGCUGUUGUGCACGCACGGUGACAGCGCUGUGUCAGUUCUGUGUGGCUGUUGUGUGCGCACAGUGUCAGUGCGGUAUGGCUGUUGUGUCAGUACCCUGUGGCUGUUGUGUCAGUGCUGUGUGGCUGUUGUGCGCGCACAGUGUCAGUGCUGUGUCAGUUCUGCACGACUGUUGUGUCAGCGCUG